UGGGGAAUAUUGCACAAUGGGCGAAAGCCUGAUGCAGCAACGCCGCGUGAAGGAAGAAGGCCUUCGGGUCGUAAACUUCUGUCCUUGGGGAAGAAGAACUGACGGUACCCAAGGAGGAAGCCCCGGCUAACUACGUGCCAGCAGCCGCGGUAAUACGUAGGGGGCAAGCGUUAUCCGGAAUUAUUGGGCGUAAAGAGUACGUAGGUGGCAACCUAAGCGCAGGGUUUAAGGCAAUGGCUUAACCAUUGUUCGCCCUGCGAACUGGGAUGCUUGAGUGCAGGAGAGGAAAGCGGAAUUCCUAGUGUAGCGGUGAAAUGCGUAGAUAUUAGGAGGAACACCAGUGGCGAAGGCGGCUUUCUGGACUGUAACUGACACUGAGGUACGAAAGCGUGGGGAGCAAACAGG
rnacentral:rRNA from 1 species